CUUUGGUUCUGUUUUAUUGGUCGACAGAUCCGAGGUAAUGAUUAAUAGGGACAGUUGGGGGCAUUAGUACGUCCAUGUCAGAGGUGAAAUUCUUAGAUUGUGGACUGACUAACUACUGCGAAAGCAUUUGCCAAGGAUGUUCUCAUUAAUCAAGAACGAAAGUUGGGGGAUCGAAGACGAUUAGACACCGUCGUAGUCUCAACCAUAAACUAUGCCGACUAGGGAUUGGAGAUUGACAGUUAUGUCUUCUUCAGCACCUUACGAGAAAUCAAAGUUUUUGGGUUCUGGGGGGAGUAUGGUCGCAAGGCUGAAACUUAAAGGAAUUGACGGAAGGGCACCACCAGGGGUGGAGCUUGCGGCUUAAUUUGACUCAACACGGGGAAACUCACC
rnacentral:rRNA from 1 species